AACAGGAUUAGAUACCCUGGUAGUCCACGCUGUAAACGGUGGGUACUAGGUGUGGGGUCCAUUCCACGGGUUCCGUGCCGUAGCUAACGCUUUAAGUACCCCGCCUGGGGAGUACGGCCGCAAGGCUAAAACUCAAAGGAAUUGACGGGGCCCCGCACAAGCGGCGGAGCAUGCGGAUUAAUUCGAUGCAACGCGUAGAACCUUACCUGGGUUUGACAUGGAUCGGGAGCGCUCAGAGAUGGGUGUGCCUCUUUUGGGGUCGGUUCACAGGUGGUGCAUGGCUGUCGUCAGCUCGUGUCGUGAGAUGUUGGGUUAAGUCCCGCAACGAGCGCAACCCUUGUUCACUGUUGCCAGCACGUUAUGGUGGGGACUCAGUGGAGACCGCCGGGGUCAACUCGGAGGAAGGUGGGGAUGACGUCAAGUCAUCAUGCCCCUUAUGUCCAGGGCUUCACGCAUGCUACAAUGGCUGGUACGGAGAGUGGCGAGCCUGUGAGGGUGAGCGAAUCUCGGAAAGCCGGUCUCAGUUCGGAUUGGGGUCCGCAACUCGACCUCAUGAAGUCGGAGUCGCUAGUAAUCGCAGAUCAGCAACGCUGCGGUGAAUACGUUCCCGGGGCUUGUACACACCGCCCGUCAAGUCAUGAAAGUUGGUAACACCCGAAGCCGGUGGCCUAACCGUUGUGGGGGAGCCGUCGAAGGUGGGACUGGUGAUUAGGACUAAGUCGUAACAAGGUAACC
rnacentral:rRNA from 1 species